GUUUUCCUACGGGGGGCAGCAGUGAGGAAUAUUGGUCAAUGGUCGGGAGACUGAACCAGCCAAGCCGCGUGAGGGAUGAAGGUACAGAGUAUCGUAAACCUCUUUUGUCAGGGAACAAAGGCGGGGACGUGUCCCCGGAUGAGUGUACCUGAAGAAAAAGCAUCGGCUAACUCCGUGCCAGCAGCCGCGGUAAUACGGAGGAUGCGAGCGUUAUCCGGAUUUAUUGGGUUUAAAGGGUGCGCAGGCGGGCUGUUAAGCCGGCGGUAAAAAUUCAGGG
rnacentral:rRNA from 1 species